UACGAAGGGGGCAAGCGUUGUUCGGAGUUACUGGGCGUAAAGGGCGCGUAGGCGGUCUUUUAAGUCAGAUGUGAAAUCCCUGGGCUCAACCUGGGCAUUGCAUUUGAGACUGGAAGGCUUGAGGACGGGAGAGGUGAGUGGAAUUUCCAGUGUAGAGGUGAAAUUCGUAGAUAUUGGAAAGAACACCAGUGGCGAAGGCGACUCACUGGCCCGUAACUGACGCUGAGGCGCGAAAGCGUGGGGAGCAAACAGG
rnacentral:rRNA from 1 species